UUAGAAUAUUAUUGAAAAUUGAGGAAAGAAAUCAACAAAUAAGAAAAUUCUUCCUAAUUUAAUUGUAAACGAAUACAGAAAAAUGGUUGUUUUCGCUCCAGAUGAAAUAGGACUAGCCGACAAGUCUCCCUGUGCUGGCAUCAGAGCUGAUCUCAAGAUGUGUUUGUUAAAUACGGAUUGCUGCAAAAAGGGCAAAAAAACACCGCGAGAAUGUUUAAAGUCAGGGGACGUCGGAGACGAAUGCCUGCAACUGCGACAGGCCUUCUUUGAGUGCAAACGAUCCUUACUGGACAAUAGAAGACGAUUUCGAGGGCACCGAGGAUACUGAAGCUAUGUAUGUCCAUUUGUUAUAGAAGUUUAGUUUAAUAUUUUAUUUUAAAACAACAAAUGUAGUAUUAACUAUUAAUUCUUGUUUUCCAAUAAAGUUACCAAAAAUGCUAAAAGAAAGUUUUUUUUUGUAAAAAUAAUUGGUCUUUUGUUACAUCUAUGAUAAGUAAACAUAUUGUAGGUGACAAAUUUGUACUUGUGGGCUGUUUAUGCUGCUCUGGUUAAGUUGAAUAUUAGCAAUUUUCGAAAUUACCUCCCUUUCAAAUUGUGAAAUCUCAAUGUAAAAUGAUGCCUAGUAACUUCUUUGUUUCUAAUGUAUCAGCAUUCUCACACACCUUAUGCACUACGAACUUGUAUAAUGUAUAUAUUUGUGUGGAAGACCACAACUCAUGCUAGUAGGUCAGUUGUGGUAAGAAGUUAAAUUACAUAAAGGACAAAAUAAAACCAUUUUACGUUUUAAAUUUUAUUACAAAAAUAAUUGAAAUUUCUUCAAUUUGCUAAUCAUCUAUUUUGCUUUCCAAGCAUUUGUUCAACACAUUUUUUUCAUUAGAGAUUUUUAAGAAGGUACAAAAUAUCUAUUCAGCAGAAAAAUAUCUAAGAUAUUGUUGCUAACUGAAAAUAACGGGAUGUGAAUUAUAAUAUAGCCAGCCGGUCAAACAAGUUGGUCACUAGAAAAAGGCGCGAAAUUGAAUUUUUUGAUGAGACAAUAAAUAUUGGCGCUUACGUUAUUUAAAUUUGCCAUAUUUUUCUAGUGACAAAUGUAGCUUGGCAGACUUUAUUUUUUAAAUUUAAUAAUAAAAACGAAUGAUUUCUAUUUGGAAGUCAGCAAUUUUAAAAUUUCUUUGAGAAGGUAAAUGUUAACUUCUAAGGGAUAAAUCUAUAACUAUCUAAUGUUUUAUUUAAUUCAAAUUGUUUCAGAAUGUCCAAAUCCUUCUCACACUAAUUAUUUAAUUGGCAAAAGUUAAAUUGUACUAUUCUUACCCAAACAAUCUUACUAUAAGGUGGACCACUUAACCUGUGGUUAAGUAGUAGUCCUCUGAUAAUUAUAAAAAGCAAUAACUACCCUAGAUAAUUAACAAAUGCAAGCCUUUAUUGCUUCCUACGUAUCAACUAGAUUUAGCACCAUAGCAAAAAUAAUCGUGCCUUGAAAAUAACCAGUAGGUAUUUAAUUUUUUCAUAAAACUUUCCAUGCAAUUUUGUUUCGAGUAAGUACAGUCGCCAUCAGAUAUACCGAAGAGGUCGGAGCUUUCAAAAAUAUCUGAACACGGCUUAAUGCCUUGACAAUAAAUGCGUGUUCAGAUAUUUGUGAGCACCCUGACCGCUCCAGUAUAACUGAUGGUGACUGUACCUAAUAGGUUUAAGCCAUCCUGUUUUGAGCACUUGAAUGUAACCUCUACCUAUUUUUGUUAUUAUUGAUCACAAUAUUUCAUACGUUUUUUGUCAUUGCCCAAAAAUGAUUUCAUAACAGUAUAAUAGUGUUUUUUUUUCUGUUAAAAUGGAAAGCUGCCUGCACCAAUAUCAACCAACUAUAUUGUAAACUCUUAUUGUUUAUAAGUAUUUAUUCCCUAGUUUUCUUUUCAAAUAAUCGAGUCAGUUUUAAAACAUCCAAUAAAACAUCAGCAUCACUUUAUAAAAUAUAUGAAGACAAACAAAAAAUAGACAAAAUAUUAUAAAUAUUGAUUUAAAUAAAUAUAAAUGUCAAAGUUCUGUAUUAUUUUAGCCACAAACAAUAUGGUAAUUGACAAAGAUAAAAUAGAACAAUUUACUUAUAAUUAAAUAACAAAAUAAUUUAAUACGUAAUAUAUCUGAACACUUAAUUAAUUUAUUAUUUGUGCAUUACAGCAUUGAAGCGUAUCUAUUUAUUUUAAUAAUUCAAGAGCUAAAAUAUUUUACAUAUAAUAACUUGUUUGAUUCCAUAAAUUUCCAGCUUUGCACAUUAUAGUGACUUAUCCUAAUCUUAAGUAUAUUAUAUUUGAAAAUAUGGAUAAAUUGGGAGGAAAAUCUUUGCCAUUGUGUACCUAUUCAUAUGCGAAGGAAAGAGUUUUUUUAAAUAAAAAUUAAAUCUUCUUGAUUUGGUUAACGAACACCGAAGUACCUUAACAAUGUAAAUUCAAAUAUUUUUGGCAUCCCAGGAUGAGAUACGCGAGAAACGCCUUUUCUAAUAUAUUUAAUCAAUACUUUUAUACAUUGAAGGUGUAGUUUAAAACUAAAAUGUACAGUCCAUCGGCAAUAACAUCGUACAACGGUAUUUUCAAAAAUUGGGACCCAUAAUUAGUGAAAGUUGUUAACAAAAAGUAACUCGAUGUCAGUUUUGUGACGACAAUUAAGGACGAAUAAAAAUAUUGCUUUUGUGUUAAUUACAUUAAAAUAUAAGCAAUAAUCUACAUUUAGAAUAUGAACAAAGUUGGUUUUUAGACAAUUUUCUUAAUUGUCGUGACAAAACUGACAUAGAGUUAAUUUUUAACAAUUGUCACUAAUUUUGGGUCCCAAUUUAUGAAAAUGCCCACAAAAGAAGGCUGCAUAAAUUAUAUCUUAGUUCUGACACACUAACAUUGUGUCAGAUAUUUUAUCGACCUUUUUUGUGCGAUGUUCCUGCGGGUGACUGUAUCUAUUCGCAGAGCUGUGUGUAAAACAGUCAUAAAAUAAUAAUGGCUGCAAAUGCCAUGAGUACAAUUAUAGAUAUGUGUCUCAAAAAUGAUUUAGCAGGUCUUUUGUAUUGUCUCAUACAGAAGCUAAGUCAGUUCAAAAUUAGGUAUGUUUUUUUUGCAAGCUUAAUAAUCGAAAUGCUCUCAAUUCUAUAUUAUAAAUAUCAAUUAAAUCCACGUCUAAAAAGUCGAAAAUAGCUUGUGUUACCGGCCUCGAGAAAAGCUAAGUGGUCUAAAAAAAAUACAACGUUAUUAUAGGAAACACAACUGAUCAAAUUGUGGCCAGUUAAAAAAAUAUUGCACAGAAUAUUCUACAAUAUAUUGAUCAAAAAUUUGCCAAAAUAUUGCAUUCUGAAUCAUUUUUUUACGUAUGUCGGAUACCUGUCUAAAGUUCUUACUAUUAGGUUAAUUAUUUUUCGCAUAGGUAAGUUUGUUACAAUUAUAAUGGAUAAAAACCAGUUGUGUUCCUGAAAACAGCUCGCUUAAAGGCCAAACCUCGACAAAUGUGUAAACGCACGUGUUCUUUUGUGAUGUGCUUUUCCGGGAAAAUUCCACACGCAGGGAAUAUUCCUUAUGUAAGGAAUUUUCCCGGGAACGUAAAUUGACUGUAGGUAAGUAUUACGCGCCCGUUCUCCGUAAGCAUUUGGCGUAACUGGGUCUUUAAUAGGCUUCUACAGUUCUAUGUUUCUUACAUGAUAUGUUGUAGGAUAUGUGAGGAACUAUAAGAGUGAGAAAUAUCAUAAUACCAUCCUUCUAAUUCCAAUACUUUCGGGUCUUUGGAAGACGAGUUUUGAUUCAGGGUUUCUUACUCUGUUUUACCUCCUAUCCCUCGUCUACCAGCUAAGCGUGUAAUCAUUCGCAGCUUGAUAUCGUAGAAGAAGUUUUAGAUGCAUAAGUAAUUUCAUAGCUAAUUCUAGUUUCCACAUAAUAACUUUUGCACUAUUAUUGUUCUUAUUAGACAGUUACUGUUAGGCUGGUUUUAGUGUCACGCGGACAACCCGCGCGGAGCGAUCCGCACUGGACUAAUAAUGUGUUAAGACGAUACAGGAGCCAAAAUGAUAAAAUGG
rnacentral:misc_RNA from 1 species